rnacentral:rRNA from 1 species
AGAGUUUGAUCAUGGCUCAGGACGAACGCUGGCGGCGUGGAUUAGGCAUGCAAGUCGAACGACGGUAGCCUUCGGGCUAUACGGAGUGGCGAACGGGUGAGUAACACGUGAACAAUCUGCCCUUACGUUCCGGAUAAUUGGCCGAAAGGCCUUGUAAUACGGGGGAGGAUCCAGUCUUGGCAUCUUGACUGGAGGGAAGUCGCAAGACGCGCAAGGAGGAGUUCGCGGAUUAUCAGGUAGUUGGUGAGGUAACGGCUCACCAAGCCUACGACGAUUAGCUGGUCUGAGAGGAUGGUCAGCCACAUUGGAACUGAGACACUGUCCAGACUCCUACGGGAGGCUGCAGUCGAGAAUCUUGGUCAAUGCACGAAAGUGUGAACCAGCGACGCCGCGUGAAGGAUGAAGGCCCUCUGGGUCGUAAACUUCUUUUACGGGAGAAGAAUCAAUGACGGUAUCCCGUGAAUAAGCCACGGCUAACUACGUGCCAGCAGCCGCGGUA